rnacentral:Y_RNA from 1 species
GGCUGGUCCGAUGGUAGUGUGUUAUCGGAACUUAUUAACAUUAGUGUCACUAAAGUUUAUUCAACCUCCCACUGCUAAAUUGGAUGAGCUUUAA